GAUGAAGAGCGUAGCGAAAUGCGAUAAGUAAUGUGAAUUGCAGAAUUCAGUGAAUCAUCGAAUCUUUGAACGCACAUUGCGCCCGCCAGUAUUCUGGCGGGCAUGCCUGUUCGAGCGUCAUUACAACCCUCAGGCCCCCGGGCCUGGCGUUGGGGAUCGGCGGAGCCCCCCGUGGGCACACGCCGUCCCCCAAAUACAGUGGCGGUCCCGCCGCAGCUUCCAUCGCGUAGUAGCUAACACCUCGCGACUGGAGAGCGGCGCGGCCACGCCGUAAAACACCCAACUCUUCUGAAGUUGACCUCGAAUCAGGUAGGAAUACCCGCUGAACUUAAGCAUAUCAAUAAGCGGAGGA
rnacentral:misc_RNA from 1 species